rnacentral:rRNA from 1 species
UUUUCUCAAGGAAGAAGACCUGACGGUACUUGAGGAAUAAGCCACGGCUAAUUCCGUGCCAGCAGCCGCGGUAAUACGGGAGUGGCAAGCGUUAUCCGGAAUUAUUGGGCGUAAAGCGUCCGCAGGCGGCCCUGUAAGUCUGUCGUUAAAGCGUGGAGCUUAACUCCAUUUAAGCGAUGGAAACUACAGGGCUUGAGUGUGGUAGGGGCAGAGGGAAUUCCCGGUGUAGCGGUGAAAUGCGUAGAUAUCGGGAAGAACACCAGUGGCGAAGGCGCUCUGCUGGGCCAUAACUGACGCUCAUGGACGAAAGCCAGGGGAGCGAAAGGGAUUAGAUACCCCUGUAGUCCUGGCCGUAAACGAUGAACACUAGGUGUCGGGGGAAUCGACCCCCUCGGUGUCGUAGCCAACGCGUUAAGUGUUCCGCCUGGGGAGUACGCACGCAAGUGUGAAACUCAAAGGAAUUGACGGGGGCCCGCACAAGCGGUGGAGUAUGUGGUUUAAUUCGAUGCAACGCGAAGAACCUUACCAGGGUUUGACAUCCUGCGAACCCCCUGGAAACGGGGGGGUGCCUUAGGGAACGCAGUGACAGGUGGUGCAUGGCUGUCGUCAGCUCGUGUCGUGAGAUGUUGGGUUAAGUCCCGCAACGAGCGCAACCCACGUCGUUAGUUGCCAGCAUUCAGUUGGGCACUCUAGCGAGACCGCCGGUGAUAAACCGGAGGAAGGUGUGGAUGACGUCAAGUCAUCAUGCCCCUUACAUCCUGGGCUACACACGUACUACAAUGCUACGGACAAAGGGCCGCAAGCUCGCGAGAGUUAGCAAAUCCCAUAAACCGUGGCUCAGUUCAGAUCGUAGGCUGCAACUCGCCUACGUGAAGGAGGAAUCGCUAGUAAUCGCAGGUCAGCAUACUGCGGUGAAUACGUUCCCGGGCCUUGUACACACCGCCCGUCACACCAUGG